GUCCUUUCGAGGACAUCCGAUAAAUUAGAACGAUGUAGAGAAGAUCAACACGAUUUCUGUGGAAGAAUAUAUGACACACACAAAUCAAGAAUGCACCUAUUUUUUU
rfam:Capsicum annuum cultivar Zunla-1 chromosome 6, whole genome shotgun sequence